UGGGGAAUAUUGGACAAUGGGCGCAAGCCUGAUCCAGCAAUGCCGCGUGUGUGAAGAAGGCCUUCGGGUUGUAAAGCACUUUUAUCAGGAGCGAAACUACUGCCGGUUAAUACCCGGCGGAACUGACGGUACCUGAGGAAUAAGCACCGGCUAACUUCGUGCCAGCAGCCGCGGUAAUACGAAGGGUGCAAGCGUUAAUCGGAAUUACUGGGCGUAAAGCGUGCGUAGGCGGUUUGUUAAGUCUGUUGUGAAAUCCCCGGGCUCAACCUGGGAAUGGCAAUGGAUACUGGCAAGCUAGAGUGUGAUAGAGGAUGGUGGAAUUCCCGGUGUAGCGGUGAAAUGCGUAGAGAUCGGGAGGAACAUCAGUGGCGAAGGCGGCCAUCUGGAUCAACACUGACGCUGAGGCACGAAAGCGUGGGGAGCAAACA
rnacentral:rRNA from 1 species